rnacentral:rRNA from 1 species
GCACAAGCGGUGGAGCAUGUGGUUCAAUUCGAAGCAACGCGCAGAACCUUACCAGCCCUUGACAUGUCCCGUAUGGGUUCCAGAGAUGGGAUCCUUCAGUUCGGCUGGCGGGAACACAGGUGCUGCAUGGCUGUCGUCAGCUCGUGUCGUGAGAUGUUGGGUUAAGUCCCGCAACGAGCGCAACCCUCGCCCUUAGUUGCCAUCAUUCAGUUGGGCACUCUAAGGGGACUGCCGGUGAUAAGCCGCGAGGAAGGUGGGGAUGACGUCAAGUCCUCAUGGCCCUUACGGGCUGGGCUACACACGUGCUACAAUGGCGGUGACAGUGGGACGCAAUGGAGUAAUCCUGCGCAAAUCUCAAAAAGCCGUCUCAGUUCGGAUUGUGCUCUGCAACUCGAGCACAUGAAGUUGGAAUCGCUAGUAAUCGCAGAUCAGCACGCUGCGGUGAAUACGUUCCCGGGC